rnacentral:rRNA from 1 species
CUUGUCUCAAAGAUUAAGCCAUGCAUGUCUCAGUGCAAGCCGAAUUAAGGUGAAACCGCGAAAGGCUCAUUAAAUCAGCUAUGAUUCAAUUGAUGGUACGAUCACGGUUACUUGGAUAACUGUGGCAAUUCUAGAGCUAAUACAUGCCAAACGAGUUCCGACCGCGGGUUCGAACGAUCUCGCGGAACGAAUGCUUUUAUUAGAACAAAACCAAUCGGAUCUCGUUCGAACGAACGAGAUCCGCAAAUCUAUGACGAAUCUGAAUAACUUUGAGCUGAUCGCACGGUCCAUAGAACCGGCGACGCAUCUUUCAAAUGUCUGACUUAUCAACUUUCGAUGGUAGGCUACGCGCCUACCAUGGUGAUAACGGGUGACGGGGAAUCAGGGUUCGAUACCGGAGAGGGAGCCUGAGAAACGGCUACCACAUCCAAGGAAGGCAGCAGGCGCGCAAAUUACCCACUCCCGGCACGGGGAGGUAGUGACGAAAAAUAACGAUGCAGGACUCUUUUCGAGGCUCUGCAAUCGGAAUGAGAACACUCUAAAUCAUUUAACGAGUAUCCAUUGGAGGGCAAGUCUGGUGCCAGCAGCCGCGGUAAUUCCAGCUCCAAUAGCGUAUAUUAAAGUUGCUGCGGAUAAAAAGCUCGUAGUUUGAUUUGUGUUCCGAGCAGUCGGUACGCCGUUCGUCGGCGGUCAACUGACUCGCGGCGGAACGUCCUGCCGGUUGACGGAGCGGGUGGCGGCGGCGGCGCGAGUCGUCGCCGCCUCGAGUGGUCGGAGGGAAGAGCGCCCGAUCUUCGGAUCGUGGCGCGCUUCGCGUCCGACGACGUUUCUGCGUCCGUCAGUCUUAGAAAAUCCCGUCGCGGCGCUCUUAACCGAGUGACGCGCCGGGCCGGCACGUUUACUUUGAACAAAACUGAGUGCUUAAAGCAGGCCGAACCCCAGCGCCUGAAAGUCGGAUGCAUGGAAUAAUGGAAUAGGGCCUCGGUUCUAUUUUGUUGGUUUUCGGAAUUUCCGAGGCAAUGAUUAAUGGGGACAGGCGGGGGCAUUAGUAUUGCGGCGUUAGAGGUGAAAUUCUUGGAUCGUCGCAAGACUAACCUAAGCGAAAGCAUUUGCCAAGGAUGUUUUCCUUAAUCAAGAACGAAAGUUGGAGGUUCGAAGGCGAUCAGAUACCGCCCUAGUUCUUACCGUAAACUAUGCCGGCUAGCGAUCCGUCGAUGUUCGUUCAGAUGAUUCGGCGGGCAGCUUGAGGGAAACCAAAGCCUUCGGGUUCCGGGGGAAGUAUGGUUGCAAAGCUGAAACUUAAAGGAAUUGACGGAAGGGCACCACCAGGAGUGGAGCUUGCGGCUUAAUUUGACUCAACACGGGAAACCUCACCAGGCCCGGCCACCGGAAGGAUUGACAGAUCAAGAGCUCUUUCUUGAUUCGGUGGGUGGUGGUGCAUGGCCGUUCUUAGUUGGUGGAGCGAUUUGUCUGGUUAAUUCCGAUAACGAACGAGACUCUAGCCUGUUAACUAGGCGACGAUCCGGACCCUUACRGGG